rfam:Schistosoma haematobium scaffold536_13, whole genome shotgun sequence.
AGCCUUUCGAAUCCGUGCUGAGAUUUCGUCAGACACCGACCCAAUAGGGCUGGUCAGACUUCGAAGAUAAGUGAAGUU